rnacentral:rRNA from 1 species
GUAAUGCCUAAGGAUGAGUCGGCGGCCGAUUAGGUAGUUGGUGGGGUAAAGGCCCACCAAGCCUGUGAUCGGUAGGGGCCUUGAGAGAGGGAGCCUCGAGAAGGACACUGAGAAACUGGUCCUAGUCCUACGGGGUGCAGCAGUCGCGAAACCUUUACAAUGCACGAAAGUGUGAUAGGGGAAUCCCAAGUGCUAAUGCUUUGCAUUGGCUUUUGCCAAGAGUAAAUAUCUUGGCGAAUAAGUGGUGGGUAAGACUGGUGCCAGCCGCCGCGGUAACACCAGCGCCACGAGUGGUAGCCGUAUUUAUUGGGCCUAAAGCGUCCGUAGCUGGUCUUGUAAAUUCUUUGUUAAAUCAACAAGCUCAACUUGUUGCCCGCAGAGAACACUGCAAGACUUGGAACCGGGAGGAGUCAGAAGUAUGUCAGGGGGCGCGGUAAAAUGCAUUAAUCCCUGAUAGACUACCUAUGGCGAAGGCAUCUGACCAGAACGGGUUCGACAGUGAGGGACGAAGGCUAGGGGAGCGAACCGGAUUAGAUACCCGAGUAGUCCUAGCAGUAAACGCUGCGAGCUAGAUGUCAGAUAUUUUUCGUGAAUAUCUGGUGUCGUAGAGAAGUCGUUAAGCUCGCCGCCUGGGGAAGUAUGGUCGCCAGACUGAUACUUAAAGGAAUUGGCGGGGGAGCGCUACAAGGGGUGCGGCGUGCGGUUUAAUCUAACUCUACACAGAAAAUCUCACCAGAAGCGACGGCAGGAUGAAAGUCAGGUUAAAGUUCUUACUAGACAAGCCGAGAGGUGGUGCAUGGCCGCCGUCAGCUCGUGCCGUAAGGUGUCCACCUAAGCGUGAUAACGAGCGAGACCCAUGUCAACAAUUGCUAGCGAGUUUUUUAGAAUUCGUGCACAUUGUUGAGACUGCCUUGGAAACGAGGAGGAAGGUGUGGGCCACGGUAGGUCUGUAUGCCCCGAAUCUUCUGGGCAACACGCGCGCAACAAUGGUACGGACAAUGGGAUGCAACUCCGAAAGGAGGAGCUAAACCUCCAAACCGUGCCCAAGUACAGAUUGAUGGCUGUAACUCGCCCUCAUGACGAUGGAAUCCCUAGUAAUCGGACGUCAACAGCGUCCGGUGAAUACGUCAACGCUCCUUGCACACACCGCCCGUCAAGCCACUCGAGCAGGGUUGUGACAAGCAUUAAUUCUUAAUUAAUGCGAGUUAUAGG